rnacentral:rRNA from 1 species
CAGCAGCCGCGGGAAUACAGAGGAUGCAAGCGUUAUCCGGAAUGAUUGGGCGUAAAGCGUCUGUAGGUGGCUUUUCAAGUCCGCCGUCAAAUCCCAGGGCUCAACCCUGGACAGGCGGUGGAAACUACCAAGCUGGAGUACGGUAGGGGCAGAGGGAAUUUCCGAUGGAGCGGUGAAAUGCGUUGAGAUCGGAAAGAACACCAACGGAGAAAGCACUCUGCUGGGCCGACACUGACACUGAGAGACGAAAGUUAGGGGAGCAAAUGGGAUUAGAUACCCCCGUAGUCCCUGUCUCUUAUAC